CCUACGGGGUGCAGCAGUGAGGAAUAUUGGUCAAUGGACGAGAGUCUGAACCAGCCAAGUAGCGUGAAGGAUGACUGCCCUAUGGGUUGUAAACUUCUUUUAUAUGGGAAUAAAAUGUUCCACAUGUGGGAUUUUGUAUGUACCAUAUGAAUAAGGAUCGGCUAACUCCGUGCCAGCAGCCGCGGUAAUACGGAGGAUCCGAGCGUUAUCCGGAUUUAUUGGGUUUAAAGGGAGCGUAGGUGGAUUGUUAAGUCAGUUGUGAAAGUUUGCGGCUCAACCGUAAAAUUGCAGUUGAAACUGGCAGUCUUGAGUACAGUAGAGGUGGGCGGAAUUCGUGGUGUAGCGGUGAAAUGCUUAGAUAUCACGAAGAACUCCGAUUGCGAAGGCAGUUCACUGGACUGCAACUGACACUGAGGCUCGAAAGUGUGGGUAUCAAACAGGAUUAGAUACCCUUGUAGUC
rnacentral:rRNA from 1 species